CGUAUAACCUAUCAGAACUUACGUUUGUGUUUGGCUGUAAUAAAUGUUUUAUUAUAAACUGCGUGUUGAUAAAAGAGAAAAGAAAGAAAUUGUGCAGUGAUUUUAACAUACACUUUUGAUCUGUAUUUGAAUGUUGUGGUUAACAACAAUUAGUUACAGUGUGUUUCUCUCACAAAGCCCGUGAAGUUGGAGCUGGAACUGAACCUGGAAAGGGGAGAACACGAGAUUAUACGUACUGUAUUUUGAUUAAUUUUUCGUCUCACCGGGGAUCACGUGCCAUUAAUUUUUGCGUCGUGUAUUCGUCUGAAGACCACUAAGCAUCCGUUUCUGAUUUUGAAUCUUACUGUACUACUUUCCUUUAGUGUAAACUUCAUUCAGCUUUUUUGUUAUGUUAUUCUCUCAUAUCUCCUUGUGUCAAUUUGAAUCAAAGAGAGUUGGUGGGUGGCAACUGUGUACUGAUGAAUGUCGUAGUCCCUUCUGUAUAAGUACUGGACCUUGUAGUUACAGAAAUUGAGGCCGCAAUGACAGUAGAAUUGAAUCAGCUGGGAGAUGCUCUGCCUGCAUUGCAGUCUUCUUCAGUUGCAAGGCAAUUGGGGCAGCAGUGUAGCAGUAGCUUAAUAACCAGGUUAUGUGACGGCACACAGACAUUUUUUGUCAUCGAUUACUACAUUCCCUCAUUUGUGAUAAGUUUUGAUACAUCAAGAGCUGGUAUUUCAUGAUUUGCCUGAGGUGAAACAUCAAUUUUGAAGAUGAAAUUUGUGGUAUCGUAAUGGAGCAAGCAAUGGGGAACAUAGCAGCACACUGAACAAAAACAUAUGCAGAUGAUGAUUGACGACAUCCUGUGUUUUGCAAAUUCCAGUCUCAAUACAUCACAUAUGAAUAACACAGUUGUUUUGUGUAAGCGCUACUGAAAGGUGAAGAGGAAGUUGUGGUGUGAUGCAUCAAACCAGUCAGAACAACGCUUAUGAAAUUUUCAUUACUUCCUCUUACAAGCGUUGUACGCCCCUUUUUGUGCUACAGACAACCCUAAAGUGGUGUACUGAAUGUCAUU